AAUGUGCUGUGUGAGCUCCUGGUCAAGUACAACGUUCUGUGAUGAGUAGCAUUGGCUGGCGGUGGACAGUGCAGUUUGCAUACAUGACAUCACAAUGCCACAGCGGUGUUCUAACUGCAGCAGGGUAUAAAGCAGGGAGCCCAGAGCCCAUUCAUCAGUCUGACCUUGACCAGAGCUAACAACAACCAUGGCUCAGCUAAGAACAGUUCCUACCGGCAGAAGACAUGCCAAGAGAAGACAUGUCCACAGACAUAGCCACGUUCACAGAAGACAAAGACGCAGAAGGGCACCGAAACCAAAAAGCCACAGAAGAGCAGGCUACAGACGCAGACGCCGUCAUCACGUAGAAUGAUGGACGCGGUCCUGCGACUUCUCCCUGCUCACUGACUCUUCUGCAACAAAAUACCCCAAUCUAUGAAUGUACAUGACACAGUAGGACAAUGAAGGCUUCCUCUUCGGCAUACGCUUAUGUGUAAUCUUACCAGACUCCUGUCUUGUUCAGCAUCAAAAAAUAUAAAAAAAAUAAAAAAGCAUAGCAAAAAAAGAAAAAAGUAACCUACUGAGCAA